rnacentral:rRNA from 1 species
AUGGUUAAGUUAGAAAGGGCGCACGGUGGAUGCCUUGGCACUAGGAGCCGAUGAAGGACGGGACGAACACCGAUAUGCUUCGGGGAGCUGUAAGCAAGCUUUGAUCCGGAGAUUUCCGAAUGGGGAAACCCACUGCUCGUAAUGGAGUAGUAUCCAUACUUGAAUACAUAGAGUAUGAGAAGGCAUACCCGGGGAACUGAAA